rnacentral:rRNA from 1 species
AGAGUUUGAUCCUGGCUCAGAGCGAACGCUGGCGGCGUGCUUAACACAUGCAAGUCGAACGGGUGUAGCAAUACAUCCGUGGCGAACGGGUGCGUAACACGUGGAUAACCUUCCUUCAGGUGGGGAAUAACCCAGUGAAAAUUGGGCUAAUACCGCAUAACAAGACGAGGGCGCAUGCUUUUGUCUUCAAAGGCGCAAGU